rnacentral:lncRNA from 1 species
GAAUAUCUAACCAAUCUUUAGCACCAUUUUAGAUUUACUGAUUGCAGAUAGCACUAAAGAUGCUAAAGCGGAUCAACCUAUCAACUACACACUUGCCUUGAAACGUAUGAAGUAACCAAAGCUGAUUUCCAACACUAAACCUGACAUAACCGCUUGUCUUGGGGCCUGGUAUACUUGGGAUCAGAUUCUUCAGACAGGUCUGGAAGGUAACGCCUGGUGUAGAUUAUUUAUCACAUUUUCUCUCUCUAAAUUUCGACCCUAGAUUAGUUAGUGAGUAUUAUUAAAAAAAAAUAAUAAUAAUAAAUAAAGAAAUAAAAAUAAAUAAGAUCUAUUGUUUAAUUAGGAUGGGUCUAAACAGGACUUUGUGGCUAAAACCAUUAAAAGAGUUCGAAAUGGGACUUGGAGGCGGCAAUCUUCAAGGCUCGCUUUCGCAAAGAACUCUUGGAUAUAUGUAAAAAAAAAGUGAACAGAACUUGGUGGCAACCACCAUUAAGUUUUGAUUCAUGGAAGCCUGUCCAAUCUUGGUCACUGAUCAUGCAAUGGAAGCAGAGUUUGACUUAAGAGAGAAAAUUAGAGAGAGAGAAACUAGGAACUAACUUUUAC